rnacentral:rRNA from 1 species
GACGAACGCUGGCGGCGUGCUUAACACAUGCAAGUCGAACGGAAAGGCCCUGAUUUUGUGGGGUGCUCGAGUGGCGAACGGGUGAGUAACACGUGAGUAACCUGCCCUUGACUUUGGGAUAACUUCAGGAAACUGGGGCUAAUACCGGAUAGGAGCUCCUGCUGCAUGGUGGGGGUUGGAAAGUUUCGGCGGUUGGGGAUGGACUCGCGGCUUAUCAGCUUGUUGGUGGGGUAGUGGAUUACCAAGGCUUUGACGGGUAGACGGCCUGAGAGGGUGACCGGCCACAUGACUACUGAGAUACGCCCCAGAGUCGCACCGGGACCAGCAGUGAGGAAUAUUGCACAAUGGUCGGAAGCCUGAUGCAGCAACCCCCCGUGCGGGAUGACGGCCUUCGGGUUGUAAACCGCUUUCGCCUGUGGCGAAGCGUAAGUAACGGUAAUAGGUAAAGAAGCACCGGCUAACUACGUG